AUGAACGCUGGCGGCGUGCCUAAUACAUGCCAGUCGAGCGAACAGAUGAGGAGCUUGCUCCUCUGACGUUAGCGGCGGACGGGUGAGUAACACGUGGAUAACCUACCUAUAAGACUGGGAUAACUUCGGGAAACCGGAGCUAAUACCGGAUAAUAUAUUGAACCGCAUGGUUCAAUAGUGAAAGACGGUUUUGCUGUCACUUAUAGAUGGAUCCGCGCCGCAUUAGCUAGUUGGUAAGGUAACGGCUUACCAAGGCAACGAUGCGUAGCCGACCUGAGAGGGUGAUCGGCCACACUGGAACUGAGACACGGUCCAGACUCCUACGGGAGGCAGCAGUAGGGAAUCUUCCGCAAUGGGCGAAAGCCUGACGGAGCAACGCCGCGUGAGUGAUGAAGGUCUUCGGAUCGUAAAACUCUGUUAUUAGGGAAGAACAAAUGUGUAAGUAUCUAUGCACGUCUUGACGGUACCUAAUCAGAAAGCCACGGCUAACUACGUG
rnacentral:rRNA from 1 species